AUGCCAAUACAUCUUUUGCAGGCAUUUUUUUGUAUUACAGUUCUUGGCUUUCAGAUGCUAAUGGUAUAUUUUUGUACCAAUGUUAUUUCUCAAAAAAAAAAAAAAAAAAAAAAAAGCAGACUUUUACUGCCAGACUUUUUACUACACAGUUCAAUUUCACUCUUUGAACAACUACAAUCAAUGAAGAAUAUCUCUGAAAUGCAAAUCAAUAAGCUGUGUUGGAGAUUAUUUUAUGAUCCUGGUCCAAAAUCUACUGAAAUGUAUGGAAAUGUAUUGCACUCAGGAAGGUACAUGAAUUCUACAUUUCUAGUUCAGUGUGGUUUCACUUUAACAAACAGAGCAGUUCUGCAGAAGACCUCUAGACACUCAUCAGAUUUUAUUUUUUUUGCAAGACCAGUAGUAGAUUUACACUCCUCUGAAGGAAAGUGAUUAUCCUAGAAACAGGCAUGCAUAGAUACCAAUUUCAUCAGUGGUUUUAAUGUUUUAUUUAAGGGAUAGGUGAGUAUUGUUUUCUCUGUAUCCUAGUGACAUAUGUAAUGCAGAGAAGACAAGGGUGUUUUUUGUUGUUGUUUUGUUUUGUUUUUUCCUGUCUGUUGUCCUUUCAAGACCAGUGACUACAGCAGGUGCAUUUUACAUUUAAAUAGUUCAUCAGCAACAACAACAACAAAAAAUAGACAUGUAUUAUUAAUAUUGCUGUUGCUGUUGCUGUUGCUGUUGCUAUUGCUAUUGCUAUUGCUAUUAUUAUUCCUAUUCCUAUUCCUAUUCCUAUUCCUAUUCCUAUUCCUAUUCCUAUUCCUAUUCCUAUUCCUAUUCCUAUUCCUAUUCCUAUUCCUAUUAUCAUUUUAGAUUGGCUCCUUCCUCCAUACAUAACAUCAUAAUUCCUGGUUCGUUACCCCGUGCAUAUUAAUUCAUUAAUUUCAUAAAGUAAGACCCUGCUGUGCUCCACAGAACUGGGGAGCUUCCUACCCCAGGUCAGUCCUGCUGGUCAUCCUCUAUAACAACCUGAGCACAAAUGUAUGACACUCCUGCAGAAGUGUCAGAUUUCUACAUUGACAUGAGUGCUACUUGAAAAUAAGACAAUAAUUUUUUUAAAAAAUAACCCCUUUGCCUCCCUUUCACUGUGACUUAGAACAAAGAAAUCACAUAUCUGGUUAAUUUUUGCCACAGUACUCUCUGGGUUCCUCUCUACAUUUCCCACAUUUUUUU
rnacentral:lncRNA from 1 species